UACGGGGGGAGCAAGCGUUGUUCGGAUUUACUGGGCGUAAAGGGCGCGUAGGCGGCGUGGUAAGUCACUUGUGAAAUCUCCGGGCUUAACCCGGAAAGGUCAAGUGAUACUGCUGUGCUAGAGUGCGGAAGGGGCAACUGGAAUUCUCGGUGUAGCGGUGAAAUGCGUAGAUAUCGAGAGGAACACCUGCGGCGAAGGCGGGUUGCUGGGCCGACACUGACGCUGAUGCGCGAAAGCCAGGGGAGCGAACGGG
rnacentral:rRNA from 1 species